UACGGUCAUGUCACAUUGAAACACCGGUUCUCGUACGAUUAUCGACGUUAAGCAACGUCGAGCGUAGUCAGUAUCUCGAUGUGUGACCGCUUGGGAAUACCAGGUACUGUAAG